GGUCCUCAACAUCCUCACUCAGGUCAUUGCUGGUUGGAAAACUACACCCCUCCCAGAAUUUCGAUAGGACAAUAAGGAAUGUGAUUGAAAAGAAGACGGAUAACAUUACUAAAGAGAUCGAUGUUAAAGAGGUUCCCAACCAGCGGUUAUAAAGUUCCACAACUUCACCCACAAGCAGACGCAUAUAUCGGUUCUGACUGUAGUCAAGGUCCAAGGGUCUCAUUCUUCAAUGUCUAUUCCACAGCGAUUGUACGAAGACGCAUGUCGUUUGAUGAGGUGAAGGCUCGACUCAAGAUAAUGAAUAUGGACUACGCACUGAUGUACCCGGCCACAUUGAAGAUUAUGGUCAACGGAUCGCUUAAAAAACUUUACACACCCGAAGAGGCUGCUGCGUUUAUUGACUCUCUCGGGUAAAUAACUUUCAGCUGCACCCCGCAGGAUUAGAUAACUUCUUUAUUUGAAUCUGAUCAUGAAGCAGUGAUGUGCGUUCUCAAGUGCUCCUGUUCAGCAAUAUUCAUAUGUUUUAUCAUUUGUCUUGCUAAAGUAACUGCCACUAUAGCUCAGACUAGGGUUGUCAACCGUCCUGUAUUAGCCGGGAUGUCCCUUAUAUUGGGUUAAAUUGGUUUGUCCCGAAAGUGAUCUCCCUUGUCCCGUGUUUUCAUCCAAUCACAGUAAUAGCGUUAAACGCGCCAAUUCCGGCCAAGUAAUAUCUGUUGUUCGGUGGUUUGGCAUAUCAAGGAUAUAUGAAUAAACCUGCAAAAAAGAAAAGACUGUGCAGCUACAACAAACAAUGGGAAGCAAAAAAAAGAGGUGCGUUAAGGCUGUCAGUGGUGACUCGACGAAAGCUGUGAGUGAGCGAACUCGGCAUGCAUCCACAUAAAUGCACAAGGAUAUCUGCCUCCUACGGAAGGCGAACCGGUGUAUUUCUCAGUUGCCAGGGAUGCCUCAAACAAGGAAAAUAGAAAAAUGUUUCCAGUGUGCGUCAGAUAUUUCUCUAUGUCUGAUGGAGUGCAGUGAAAGUUACUUGAUGUUUAUGAAGACGGCGAUGAAACUGCAAAUGGCAAACAUCAAGCUUUGAUGAACUGUCUGGAAAAGCAUGAACUGGAUUUUAGACGCAUCACAGCCUAUGCAGCAGAUAGCGGGCCGCGGCUAGGAGGCUAGCAGAUGGUCAUUCGGGGGACGUCGCGACGGAGGAGCCUUUUGGAAACCCACCUCGGGCGGAUUAUGUCUGUAGUCCAGUCAUGAUGGAUCGGCGGGGCUCCGUAUAGGCAAAAAAAGGGGUCCAGGCCAAUUGGCAAAAUAGGUAUUGUAGCACAAUGACUGGCUGAUGGACCUCUUUAGCUAGCCGGGAGAUGGGCCUAGCAUAGGCUAGCUCCAGGCUAAUUGGUGCUUUCUUCAGGACAGAGACAUUAGCCAGAAGAAGCCAAUCAGAUAGCAGCUAGCUAGCUGGGAUGAUUCAGGUGAAGAGGUUCACAGCUUGCGGUAGGAAUCCAUGGAUAUGGAGAAAAACAAGUCUGAUAAGCUCUGGGUUGAAUCUGCGCUGUGCAGACUGGCAGGAGUUGUCCGGACUAAAGGUUAGCUGAUGACCGCUAGCAGUGGCUAGCUGACUACUAGCUAGUAGAAGGUUAGCUGGUUAGCUUCUGUUGGGGGUUCCGGCUAUAAAGUAAAUAAAAUAGCAGAUCUAUACCACGUUGGGUGAAGUGGGUUGCAGGAGAGUAUUAGAAAAAGUAGAAAAAUAUUUUUUAAUUGUAUGCGAAGAAAAAAGAUAUAUGAAGAUAUAUACACGGGACACGACAAGACGAAGACAAAAGACUCCUGAUUGCUACGCCAUCUUGGAUUGAAACAAGGAAGAUGGAAGAAGGUACUGUCUUUUUUGAAUAAAGAAAAUAUUGAUAUUGCUCUGUUGCAAGAAACUAAUUUGGAUGGUGUUGAAGGAAUUUGAAUUCCUCUGUUUUAAUUCCCAAUUAAAAUUAAACUCUGUCAAUUCAUAA